AGACUCACUGCAGUUUAAUGGACUGAAGUGAGACUCGCUCAGACCACGCUGGAUUUCACAUACAAUACUGUGGCUCUUUUUGUGUCGCCAACAAAUUUGAUCACAACACGGCGGUUUGCGAUGGGAAGGCUCUAAUGUGACCCUUGACCUCUAUCUUUCUCUGCAUUGCUAUUUUCUUCAGAGGGCCACUUGUGCGCUCCACAAUAACCCGAGUCAGAAGAAGAAGCACAUUUCGACAGGGGGAGAAUAAUGGCAUGCCAGGGUCGCAAUGUGGAGCCGCUGGGGAACCAUGGGAACGAGGGCCAGCACGCCUUUAGUAAAAACUCAUCCCGAGGCCUCUAGAGAUCAUGCAGCCCCAUUGAUGCGAUCCAAGACCUGUGCAAAAUUGAUGCCAAAAUAUCCAAAGACCUGGAGCGUGCAGUUUCCUGCGCAGAAGCUGUGGUGGUCAUGGAGGAGCAAAGAGCAUGAGACACCCACAGGUGACCUACUCACACCUGCAGUUUCUCCAAGAUGGAUUUCCAGCGUUCUCCAGCCUCCAAUGCCAAGACUGCAGGUCUGCACAGGAACUUUUGUCCAGAGGAAAAAUGGUGGUGUCCAACUGAGCCUGGUCUCUUCCUUUACUUUCGUCACUUUGUGAAGUUUUGUUCCUCACUUGGUUUGGGACUUGUGGAGCUGUACAUCGAUGGAUUUGCUCUUCAGUGUUUGGACUUUCAGCAGUGACAAAUAAACUACAGUGAAGUGAACUAAACUGAACUUCAACUUUGAAAUCUGGACUGACACAGUUUAAAUUUACUAGAGCUUCUAUGUUAAGCUGCUUUGACAUUGUCUAUAUUGUAAAAGCGCUAUAGAAAUAAACAUGAAUUUAAUUGAAUUACUGAAUAAAGCAGCACCUUUAAAGCC
rnacentral:lncRNA from 1 species